AAGUCGUAACAAGGUUUCCGUAGGUGAACCUGCGGAAGGAUCAUUCGCACUUAUGCAGCAGCUUAGAUUACAUGGAAACAUGAAUGAAGAGUUGACUGUUUCAAAUACCCAAAACUUAACGCGGACUGUACAACAAAAACAAACCAAAUGCCUUAUGCUGUGUUGUUAGUGGACGAACGACUUUAGUCUAUUAUUACAGUGUUUGGCGAGUUACCAUGUCGGGUAGCGAGCCUUGAUGUAUUUCGGGGUGAGCUGCUUGUUAGUAUGUUGAUUGUUCCUAGUGAUGGUGGAUUCCAUGCU
rnacentral:misc_RNA from 1 species